AUGAACGCUGGCGGCGUGCCUAAUACAUGCAAGUCGAGCGAACGGACGAGAAGCUUGCUUCUCUGAUGUUAGCGGCGGACGGGUGAGUAACACGUGGAUAACCUACCUAUAAGACUGGGAUAACUUCGGGAAACCGGAGCUAAUACCGGAUAAUAUUUUGAACCGCAUGGUUCCAAAGUGAAAGACGGUCUUGCUGUCACUUAUAGAUGGAUCCGCGCUGCAUUAGCUAGUUGGUAAGGUAACGGCUUACCAAGGCAACGAUGCAUAGCCGACCUGAGAGGGUGAUCGGCCACACGGGAACUGAGACACGGUCCAGACUCCUACGGGAGGCAGCAGUAGGGAAUCUUCCGCAAUGGGCGAAAGCCUGACGGAGCAACGCCGCGUGAGUGAUGAAGGUCUUCGGAUCGUAAAACUCUGUUAUUAGGGAAGAACAUAUGUGUAAGUAACUGUGCACAUCUUGACGGUACCUAAUCAGAAAGCCACGGCUAACUACGU
rnacentral:rRNA from 1 species